rnacentral:rRNA from 1 species
CAAAGUAUGAGUUUGAUCCUGGCUCCGAAUGAACACUAGCGAUCUGCUUAACACAUGCAAGUCGAAUGUAUCUUAGAUGCAUGGCGAACGGGUGCGUAAUACAUAAGAAUCUGCCCUACAAUUCGAAAUAAUACAUAAUGUCGAAUAAUUGGUAACAUUUAUCUGUUAUUAAAAAAAUAAAUUUGUUGUAGGAUGAGCUUAUGUAGGAUUAUGGUAGUUGGUGAGGUAAAAGCUCACCAAGCCGACGAUCCUUAGCUGGUUUUAGCGAACGACCAGCCACACUGGGACUGAGACACGGCCCAGACUCCGUUUGGAGGCAGCAGUGGGGAAUUUUGGACAAUGGGCGAAAGCCUGAUCCAGCAAGAUCGCGUGAGGGAUGACAGCAUCAGUUGUAAACCUCUUUCGUUGGAGAAGAUAAUGACGGUAUCCAAAGAAGAAGUCCCGGCUAACUCCGUGCCAGCAGCCGCGGUAAGACGGGGGGGGCUAGUGUUAUUCAUCAUGACUGGGCGUAAAGGGCAUGUAGGCGGUACAAGAAGGUGAUUUCAAAAGUCUUCGGCGUAACCAAAGAAACGUUAUCACAACCAUUGUACUUGAGUUUUGUAAAGGAAAGUAGAAUUUCUACAGUUGCGAUAAAAUGCUUAGAGUAGAAGGAAUGUCAAUGGCGAAGGCAACUUUCUAGACAUUAACUGACGCUGAGAUGCGAAAGCAUGGGGAGCAAACAGGAUUAGAGACCCUGGUAGUCCAUGCUGUCAACGAUGAGUGUUAUUGUGUUCUCGUCUUUUUAAGAUAUGUAUGAAUUACAAACAGCUAACGCGUAAAACACUCCGCCUGAGAAGUACAAUUGCAAGGUUGAAACUCAAAGGAUUUGACGGGGGUCCGUAACAAGCGGUGGAGCAUGUGGUUUAAUGCGAUACAACGCGCGAAACCUUACCAGUUCUUGAAAUUUUUAUGAACAAUUCUUUCUAACCGAGGAAUUUUAUUCUGUAAAGAGUAAUAAAAAACAGGUGUUGCAUGGCUGUCGUCAGCUCGUGUCGUGAGAUGUGGGGUUAACUCCUCGAAACGAGCGCAACCCUUAUCUUUAGUUGCUAUCGUAAUGGUUAUUACAAUAAUUUAUUACUGCACUCUGAAGAAACUGCCUACCUACGUAGGAGGAAGGUAGGGAUGACGUCAAGUCCUCACGGCCCUUAUGAACUGGGCUACACAUGUGCUACAAUGAUAAGUUACAAUGGGCAGUAAUACCGUGAGGUAAUACUAAUCUCUAAAUCUUAUCUCAGUUCGGAUUGUACUCUGCAACUCGAGUACAUGAAGAUGGAAUCGCUAGUAAUCGCGAAUCAGCACGUCGCGGUGAACUCGUUCUCGGACCUUGUACACACCGCCCGUCACGCUAUGGGAGUCGGUUGUAUCCUAAAAGAGCACAGGUACUGCUGUCAUUACACAUGUUAUUUUCUUUUUUGCAAAUAUUGUGUUUUUGUAGUAUUUAGGGUAUCUUGACGAUAUGAUCGGUGACUGGAGCGAAGUCGUAACAAGGUAGUCGUAGGGGAACCUGUGGCUGGAGAAAAACUUUU